GCUAACAGUGGGAGCUCACUUCUCUCCCCGGAUUCGAAACAGCAACCUUUCGGUCAGCAAGUUCAGCAGCUUAGCAGUUUAAUCCGCUGCACCACCGGGGGCUCCUUAAGUCAAGCAUUACAGGAAAAGGCUAAAACGAACCUUCGACUGGCAUACUGUUUCCUUGUUCUUCUUCGCAAACCAAGGGUUCACUUCUCAACACAUUAAGGUGCUUCAAAGACCAUUUAAGGCUGGCUAUGUCCUUUCAAUAAUAAUACAAUGUUCCAGUGAUGCUCCUGAGCUGAUGCAAAAUCAGACGCGCUCUCCAACAGACUUGCUAUGGUUUUCUCCAGAGCAAAGAUAGAAAAGAGCAAUCAAUAGAAACCUCGGGGGAGGACAUACUUCCCAAAUCUACACACAACAGUUUCAUG
rnacentral:lncRNA from 11 species